rnacentral:rRNA from 1 species
CAGUCGCCGCGGGAAUACAGAGGGUGCGAGCGUUAAUCGGAUUUACUGGGCGUAAAGCGUGCGUAGGCGGCUUCUUAAGUCGGAUGAGAAAUCCCUGAGCUUAACUUAGGAAUUGCAUUCGAUACUGGGAAGCUAGAGUAUGGGAGAGGAUGGUAGAAUUCCAGGUGUAGCGGUGAAAUGCGUAGAGAUCUGGAGGAAUACCGAUGGCGAAGGCAGCCAUCUGGCCUAAUACUGACGCUGAGGUACGAAAGCAUGGGGAGCAAACAGGAUUAGAUACCCCCGUAGUCCCUGUCUCUUAUAC